rnacentral:rRNA from 1 species
UAUCAAAAACAUCGCCUCUUGACUCCCAUAAGAGGUCCAGCCUGCCCAGUGACUACAAUUUAACGGCCGCGGUACCCUAACCGUGCGAAGGUAGCAUAAUCACUUGUUUCCUAAAUAGAGACUAGCAUCAACGGCAUCACGAAGACUACACUGUCUUCCCCCUAAAAUCAAUGAAACUGAUUUUCCCGUGAAGAAGCGGGAAUAUUAAUAUAAGACGAGAAGACCCCAUGGAGCUUUAAACGAACUUUUAACUGCUCCCAACUUUAUCAUAAGAAAUAAGCUCCAAUAAAAGAUAGUUUUCGGUUGGGGAGACCGCGGAGUAAAACAAAACCUCCACAAUGAAUAUAAAAGAGCUACAACUCUAAUAAUCAAAAAAAUUGACAUACUUGACCCAAACGCUUGAUCAAUGAACCAAGUUACCCUGGGGAUAACAGCGCAAUCCAUUUUAAGAGCUCCUAUCGACAAAUGGGUUUACGACCUCGAUGUUGGAUCAGGGUAUCCUAGUGGUGCAGCCGCUACUGAUGGUUCGUUUGUUCAACGAUUAAAACCCUACGUGAUCUG